GUGUGGCUGUGGCCAUUGAUUGACACAUUAAAUUCAUCCAUUGACUGGGACAAUUUACGUGAACGUUUGUCUGUAACGACCACUGUUCACGACGUACCUACGAUAGACAUUUAAACUGUGGGGUCACCAAAGGUUUCUUAACGCCUUUAAUUAUAAAAUAAUUCGACAAAUUAAUCAGGAAUAACCUUUAUGUGUUGAUUUAUAUAAUUGAUAUAAAUCAAAACAUCGUGUUAUUUCUGAAUAUUUUUC
rnacentral:lncRNA from 1 species